UACGGAGGGUGCAAGCGUUGUUCGGAAUUAUUGGGCGUAAAGGGCGCGUAGGCGGUUGUGAUAGUCAGAUGUGAAAUCCUCCGGCUUAACUGGAGAACUGCAUCUGAAACUUCAUAGCUAGAGUACAGGAGAGGGAAACGGAAUUCCCGGUGUAGAGGUGGAAUUCGUAGAUAUCGGGAGGAACACCAGUGGCGAAGGCGGUUUCCUGGCCUGAUACUGACGUUGAGGCGCGAAAGCGUGGGGAGCAAACAGGAUUAGAUACCCUGGUAGUCCCU
rnacentral:rRNA from 1 species